AGAUCUUCCUCAAUUAAUCCACCAUUAGCAUGUUUGGGAUCCUCUACUGGAUGGUUAACAGCAGCUUUGGUAACUGUAUGCUGUCCAUACCCAAUUAUGCUCUGCUAAAAAUGAACUCUGCAGAACAACCUUCCUGAGCUGUCAGUGUCUCCCGUUUUCCUAUUUUAACGCUUGUGUGUAGUGGCAGGCGACAGAUGGUGUAGAUCAGAUCGAUUUGAUUGCAUUAGGCGAUUUUUUUUUUCCUCCUCUCCCCCCCGACUCCUUUUCUGGAAGCCCACAUUCAUCUGAGAGGCGAUCGCCGGGGACAUGGGAAGCAAGAGCAGCCGCCGAUGUGUGAAAGCAACGAGACAUGGCCAGCCAGAGGCGCCGGGGUCCCUUCCCGGGGUUUGUUAACAUGGUAAUCCGGCACCAGGAGAGAAAGCUGCUUUCUGCUGCCCAGAGCCCAUUCCCCAUCACACAUCAGAUGACUCCCUGGUUUUACACACAGUUGGAGUUCUGCUCGAAACCUGGAUUUAAAGGGAAUCUGUUGCUGCGUGUGACAUCUCUUGCAAGCUCCCAGAGAGAAUUGAUGGAGCAUACAGCUAGGGAAUAGGAUGCCAGAGAAGCACAGAGGAAGAAAACAGGCGAUCACCAGGAUGGGAAGGUUCGGCGUCCAUUGGAUAUGGGACGAGAUCACUCGGCAACCCCUGUGGAUUCUCCUUCUUCUAGAGGGGAAUUAUAGUUAUGGAUUUAUUGUCCCGGUGCAGCACUUCCACCACCAGCAGCAGCAACAGCAGCAGCUUUCUGACUCUCUUCGGUGACGGGUAUUCUUGGGUGGAUAAUACGGAUUACGUUGUUAUUGCUUAAGAAUACGCGUAGUCGAGGAGAGUACCGGCGGCGGGCAGGCAGGCAGGCAGCGCGACCGCCCCCAGCCCACCAGCUGGCUCCUAACCUCCUCUAGUUGCCAAGGUAGCACCUUUUCCAUCUUUUCCUACGCUUUGCAAUGUUUCACUCUGUCUGUGUCUCUGCCCGGGCGGGGGGAGCUCGGACGCCCCGUCCCCAGCGGAGGGGGCUGCCCGCGCGUGUGUGUGUGCGUGUGCGUGUGAGCUAAGCCCAGGGCUGGGGAGGGCCGGGGAAAGGCUUGCUCGGCCCCGCAGGAGCGCUCCGCGGGCGGCCCUGGCCCUGGCCCUGGCCCUGGCCCUGGCCCUGGCCCGCCGCGGGGGUGCGGGCAGGGGGUGACCGGGGGAGCCGGGGCCGCUGCGGAGUGCGCCUCCGCGGGCAGCGCUCGGCAGGCUGCGCCGG